AAUCAACGCUGGCGGCGUGCCUCAGACAUGCAAGUCGAGCGAUUAAACUUUCCUUCGGGAAAGAUAUAAAGCGGCGUACGGGUGAGUAACACGUAAGUAAUCUACCUUCGAGUGGGGAAUAACGUUCGGAAACGGACGCUAAUACCGCAUAAUGCAGCGGCAUCUAAUGAUGACAGUUGUUAAAGAUUUAUCGCUUGAAGAGGAGCUUGCGGCAGAUUAGCUUGUUGGUAAGGUAAUGGCUUACCAAGGCUACGAUCUGUAUCCGGUCUAAGAGGACGGUCGGACACACUGACACUGAAUAACGGGUCAGACUCCUACGGGAGGCAGCAGUCGGGAAUUUUGGGCAAUGGGCGAAAGCCUGACCCAGCAACGCCGCGUGAAGGAUGAAGUCUUUCGGGAUGUAAACUUCGUAAGAAUAGGAAGAAUAAAUGACGGUACUAUUUGUAAGGUCCGGCUAACUACGUGC
rnacentral:rRNA from 1 species